rnacentral:rRNA from 1 species
CUGACGAGUGGCGGACGGGUGAGUAAUGCUUGGGAAUUUACCUUGUUGUGGGGGACAACAGUUGGAAACGACUGCUAAUACCGCAUAAUGUCUUCGGACCAAAGGUGGCCUCUAUUUAUAUGCUAUCGCGACAAGAUGAGCCCAAGUGGGAUUAGCUAGUUGGUAAGGUAAUGGCUUACCAAGGCGACGAUCCCUAGCUGGUCUUAGAGGAUGACCAGCCACACUGGAACUGAGACACGGUCCAGACUCC